rnacentral:rRNA from 1 species
AUUGAACGCUGGCGGCAGGCCUAACACAUGCAAGUCGAGCGAGCGGCGGACGGGUGAGUAAUGUCUGGGAACCUGCCUGAUGGGGGGGGAUACCUGCUGGAAACGGUAGAUAAUAUCGCAUACCAUCAGAUGUGCCCAGUUGGGGUUAGCUGGUGGGUGGGGUAACGGCUCACCAAGGCGACGAUCCCUAGCGGGUCUGAGAGGAGGACCAGCCACACUGGAACUGAGACACGGUCCAGACUCCUACGGGAGGCAGCGGUGGGGAAUAUUGGAAAAUGGGCGAAAGCCUGAUGCAGCCAUGCCGCGUGUGUGAAGAAGGCCUUCGGGUUGUAAAGCACUUUCAGCGGGGAGGCGUUACCCGCAGAGGAAGCACCGGCUAACUCCGUGCCAGCAGCCGCGGUAAUAC